rnacentral:rRNA from 1 species
CCCAGACUCCUACGGGAGGCAGCAGUGGGGAAUAUUGCACAAUGGGGGGAACCCUGAUGCAGCGACGCCGCGUGGGUGAAGGAGUACUUCGGUACGUAAAGCCCUAUCAGCAGGAAAGAAAAUGACGGUACCUGACUAAGAAGCCCCGGCUAACUACGUGCCAGCAGCCGCGGUAAUACGUAGGGGGCAAGCGUUAUCCGGAUUUACUGGGUGUAAAGGGAGCGUAGACGGCAGUGCAAGUCCGGAGUGAAAGCCCGGGGCUCAACCCUGGGACUGCUCUGGAAACUGUAAAGCUGGAGUGCGGGAGGGGCAGGCGGAAUUCCUGGUGUAGCGGUGAAAUGCGUAGAUAUCAGGAGGAACACCGGCGGCGAAGGCGGCCUGCUGGACCGUAACUGACGUUGAGGCUCGAAAGCGUGGGGAGCAAACAGGAUUAGAUACCCUUGUA